rnacentral:tRNA from 1 species
UCUAAUAUGGCAGAAUAGUGCAUUGGAUUUAAACCCCAAUUAUAAAGAUUAAUCUUUUUUUAGAA